CCUGUGGUGGCAGCUGUGGACAUGGGGUUUGGGAGCAGAUAGAAAAGCUUAGGCACAUGGUUUUAUUUUGUUAGAUAAUUACUUUUUUAUUCCUUUACUUCAAAUGUGGGAUUUGGGGGAAGGAAUUGUCAUGGGCUUUCAUCUGGCUGUUCAGUGACCUAGGAGAUAAAGAGCUGGGGCCUGAGUUGAAAUCCAAUCCCAGAUACUUACCAGCCACUCCAAACUUCAGACUCCACCACCCUGAUCAGUCAGCACCCAACAGCAAAGAGGCAAGAUCCAACACCAGCAAAAAGAUUAAGAUUUGCUGAAUGUUCAGAAUACGAUCCUGAUCAGAGCUCCAGGCUCCAAGAAGAGACAAGCAGCAGCAGAGUUAAAAAUGUCCUGUCUUUCCACACCACAUCUUCCUACACUGAUGGGGCAGCUUACAUGAUGAGUCUGUCUUCCCUGAGGACUCACAGGACUUAAAUAUGGGGUAUCUUUCCUUCCUGUCUCUAGUAGCUGCUUUUCAAUUUCCUCCAAAUGACUGGAACUUCCAGGUCAUGACAAUUUUCCAGCUGGGAAAUGGAAUUUAAUCAAGAUCAGGAACAAGACCACAAGCAUGAGGCAUCCCAAAAGGGGUAUAUAUUUGAAGAAAAAAAGAAGUGCUUUAACAAAAUAUAAAGGAAGGAAUCUGGAAUGAGGUUAUAUAUUAAUUUAGGAAUGACUGCUGAGGGUUUCCCUAGGGUCUAAAGAGAUGACUGUUGGACAGACAACAAUGAUUCUAGAAGUCCUCAAGAUGAAGAUAACUUGCUCCUCUUCAUCUAUUUGUUGAAUUCUUAAUUAACGAAUGGGGCCAAUUCAACGCUGGUUGACAAUGCCCAAGUUAGCAACAUAUUGAGGAAGUGUCAUUUUGACUCUUGACUUGUGCCUCUCAUUACUCACUUGUGGUCAUUCCAUGAUGGCAACACUUUGUCUUCAUGUUCAUCCAUGGAAGGUACCUAUGGAAGUUGAUUAAUAAUACCUGGGGAAAUAAUCCAAGCAAUAUGAUUUAUUAGUAAAAUGGGCAUAAUAAAAAGUCAGUGGACUCCCAGUUAGUCCAAAGACUGA